rnacentral:rRNA from 1 species
ACGGGGGGGUGCCUAUACAUGCAAGUCGAGCGGAACCGGGGGAGCUUGCUUCCCCAGUUUAGCGGCGGACGGGUGAGUAACACGUGGGCAACCUGCCCUGCAGAUCGGGAUAACUCCGGGAAACCGGUGCUAAUACCGAAUAGUUUUGGGUCCCUCCUGGGACCCAACGGAAAGAUGGUUUCGGCUAUCACUGCAGGAUGGGCCCGCGGCGCAUUAGCUAGUUGGUGGGGUAACGGCCCACCAAGGCGACGAUGCGUAGCCGACCUGAGAGGGUGAUCGGCCACACUGGGACUGAGACACGGCCCAGACUCCUACGGGAGGCAGCAGUAGGGAAUCUUCCGCAAUGGACGCAAGUCUGACGGAGCAACGCCGCGUGAGUGACGAAGGUUUUCGGAUCGUAAAACUCUGUUGUGAGGGAAGAAACCGUACCAACUAACUACUGGUACCUUGACGGUACCUCACCAGAAAGCCACGGCUAACUACGUGCCAGCAGCCGCGGUAAUACGUAGGUGGCAAGCGUUGUCCGGAAUUAUUGGGCGUAAAGCGCGCGCAGGCGGUCCUUUAAGUCUGAUGUGAAAGCCCACGGCUCAACCGUGGAGGGUCAUUGGAAACUGGAGGACUUGAGUGCAGAAGAGGAAAGUGGAAUUCCACGUGUAGCGGUGAAAUGCGUAGAGAUGUGGAGGAACACCAGUGGCGAAGGCGACUUUCUGGUCUGUAACUGACGCUGAGGCGCGAAAGCGUGGGGAGCAAACAGGAUUAGAUACCCUGGUAGUCCACGCCGUAAACGAUGAGUGCUAAGUGUUAGGGGGGUUUCCGCCCCUUAGUGCUGCAGCUAACGCAUUAAGCACUCCGCCUGGGGGAGUACGGGCGGCAGGCUGAAACUCAAAGGAAUUGACGGGGGCCCGCCACAGCGGUGGAGCAUGUGGUUUUAAUCGAAACAACGCGAAGAAACCUUAACAGGUCUUUGAAUCCCGCUGCCCGCCCUAAAGAUAGGGGUUUUCCCUUCGGGGACCACGGUGACAGGGGGUGCAUGGUUGUCGUCAGCUCGUGUCUUGAAAUGUUGGGUUAAACCCCCCAACAGCCCAACCCUUGAUCUAAUUGCCGCAUUCCUUUGGGCCCUCUAAGGGGACUGCCGGUGCCAACCCGAGGAAAAGGGGGGAGGAGGGGAAUUAUCUCCCCCCUUAAAACGGGGGCUCACCCGCUGCUAAAUGGGGGGGGAAAAGGGGGGAGCCCCCCCCCCGAGGGGGGAGACAAACCCCCAAAAAAACCCUUUCUCUCCUCUUUUUUAUGGUGGGGGGUCAUACUUCCCCCCCCCUCCGGAGAAGACCGGAAGAAGAAAAACAUAUAUAAAAAUAGUUAGGAG